AAGAGUGACCUAUAAAGGCUUAGGUAUACUUGUGAUAUUGUUGGUUGUCCCUUUGUGUGCUUAAUAUCAAAAGAAAAGUUUGGUGGGGUUAAAAUCAAGACUUUAUCUUUUGAACAUGAUUGUGGCACUGCAUUUGAUAAUAAGACUGUUGAUUUUAGUACCAUUGCACAAUAUUUCAAGAGGAAGUUACAGGAUAAUCCUAAGUACAAGGUUAGGAAGAUGAUGUUAGAUUUGAAGAGAAACUUUGAGCUAAAUAUUAGUCAUGGGAAGUGAAAGAGGGCACAGAGGAUAGUAUUGGAGUCACUAGAUGGUAGUUUUCAGAUGAGUACAAUAAACUAGAGGCGUAUACCAAUAAAUUGAGGGAAAGUAACCCUGGCAGUGAUGUGGUUGUUACACUUUCAAAGAGUGCACUUGAAGAAGGAAGAAGAAGGUUCUUGAGAAUGUAUGUGUGUUUUCAUGCUUUGAAGAUGGGUUUCAAUCUAGGAUUGAGACCUUUUAUUGGUUCGGAUGGUACCUUUUUGAAGGGCAAAGCCAAAGGCCAAUUGUUAGCGGCAGUUGGACAGGAUUCACAGAUAUUUUUACCCUUUGGCAUGGGCAGUUGUUGAUAAGGAUAACAAAAAUACUUGGAAUUGGUUCCUACAGCUGCUACAAUCUUCUUUGGACCUCAAGGAAGGGGAAGGAAUCACCUGCAUGUCAGAUAUGCAAAUGGGACUGCUUGAUGCAGUCAAAACAGUCAUUCCCCAAGCACAUCACAAGUACUGUGUUAGACAUAUUGAAUCUAACUGGUGCAAACAGUACAAAACUGGGGAAAACAAGAAGCUUUUAUGGUGGUGUGCAUGGUGCACAUAUGCAGAAGAUUUCAAGGAUCAGCUAGGAAAAUUAGGUGAAUUGAACAAAGAUGCUGCAGAGGCUUUGUUGAGGUACCCACCCCAGUCCUGGUGUAGAGCAUAUAUAGACAUUGUAUGCAAGAAUCAGUCGGUUGAUAAUAACUUGACUGAAUCAUUCAACAAGUGGAUUGUGGAUGCAAGGCAUAAGCCUAUAAUCAAGAUGCUAUAGGACAUCAGAAUCAAGACCAUGAACUUGUUAAGAGAACAUGAAGAAGAAGUUAGGAGCUGGACAUAUGAUUUCAGUCCAAAAUGUAUGGACUUGUAUAAUGAGUGUGAAGUAAUUGCAAAUGGUCAAAAAUGGCUAUAAAGUAACAGAAGGAUCUGACAAGCAUUGUGUUAACUUGGCUGUGAAGAAGUGCACUUGCAGAGCAUGGGACCUUACAAGAAUCCCAUGUCCAUAUGCUAUUAGAGAUAUACUUCAUGACUCUGGUGAUCCAAUGAAUAAAAUCAACUAGUGGUAUAGCAAGGAGGCAUUUCUGCUGACUUAUAGGCACAAAAUACAGCCUGUCAGGGGAGAAAAGUUUUGGAAGAUUGAACCAUCUCAAGCAAUGGAGCCUCCAGAGCUUAUGAAAUUGGCUGGUAGACCUAAGGUUAAGAUAGAUAAGCAGAAGGAUGAGGCAAUUAAAAGACAAGGAGUGUGGUCACAGUCCAGAAAAGGAAGAAUCAUGACUUAUAGCAAAUGUGGAGAAACAACUCAUAAUGCAAGAACUUGUGGUCAGGGAAAGAAGCAAAGUAAGAGAGGAAGAGUUGAGCAGGCUGCUGCCACACCUGAGCAGGCUGUUGCCACAACUACUGGAGUUACUGUCUUCUUUGGUGAUGUAAUUACAGUUAUUUGGUGUUGUUUUAGUGAUGUAAUUACAGUUAUUUGGUAUUGUUUUACAUUAACUUCAAAGUAUUAAAUACUAGACAUGAAUAUUUUUAACUUGUCUUUUUUAACUAUUUUAAUCAAGGGAAAGAAGUAAAGUAAGAGGGAAGAGUUGAGCAGGCUGCUGCCACAACUACUGGAGUUAUUAUCUUCUUUGGUGAUGUAAUUACAAUUAUU